rnacentral:rRNA from 1 species
ACGGAGGGUGCAAGCGUUAUUCGGAAUUACUGGGCGUAAAGCGCGUGUAGGCGGUCCUGCAAGUCUGAUGUGAAAGCCCCGGGCUUAACCCGGGAAGUGCAUUGGAAACUGUGGGACUUGAGUACUGGAGAGGAUGGGGGAAUUCCCGGUGUAGAGGUGAGAGUCGGAGAGAUCGGGAGGAAUAUCAGUGGCGAAGGCGGCCAUCUGGACGGGAACUGAGGCUGAGACGCGAGAGCGUGGGGAGGAAGCAG